UUCCUGUCCAACGUUAAUCGGGGCAGGGUGAGUCGACCCCUAAGGCGAGGCCGAAAGGCGUAGUCGAUGGGAAACAGGUUAAUAUUCCUGUACUUGGUGUUACUGCGAAGGGGGGACGGAGAAGGCUAUGUUGGCCGGGCGACGGUUGUCCCGGUUUAAGCGUGUAGGCUGGUUUUCCAGGCAAAUCCGGAAAAUCAAGGCUGAGGCGUGAUGACGAGGCACUACGGUGCUGAAGCAACAAAUGCCCUGCUUCCAGGAAAAGCCUCUAAGCAUCAGGUAACAUCAAAUCGUACCCCAAACCGACACAGGUGGUCAGGUAGAGAAUACCAAGGCGCUUGAGAGAACUCGGGUGAAGGAACUAGGCAAAAUGGUGCCGUAACUUCGGGAGAAGGCACGCUGAUAUGUAGGUGAAGCGACUUGCUCGUGGAGCUGAAAUCAGUCGAAGAUACCAGCUGGCUGCAACUGUUUAUUAAAAACACAGCACUGUGCAAACACGAAAGUGGACGUAUACGGUGUGACGCCUGCCCGGUGCCGG
rnacentral:rRNA from 1 species